UACAGAGGUCCCAAGCGUUGUUCGGAUUCACUGGGCGUAAAGGGUGCGUAGGUGGUGAGGUAAGUCGGAUGUGAAAUCUCGGAGCUCAACUCCGAAAUGGCAUUGGAAACUACCUCGCUAGAGGAUCGGAGGGGAGACUGGAAUUCUCGGUGUAGCAGUGAAAUGCGUAGAUAUCGAGAGGAACACCAGUGGCGAAGGCGAGUCUCUGGACGAUUCCUGACGCUGAGGAGCGAAAGCCAGGGGAGCAAACGGG
rnacentral:rRNA from 1 species